CCUCAUUGCGACUUUUGAGUCCAUUUCUCGCGUAGAAAUUCCUCAAGAAUGUUGGUGAAUUUUCUCACAAUUUUCUUCGUGAUUUCCAUUUGUUUUCUGUGGUAUGAAAGUUUGGCGCUGCAGUGCUAUAUUUGUGAUUCCUCAAAGGGGGAUGGAUGCCAGAGGAAUACGAACUUUCGUCAAUUGCCCGUUGAGACCUGCCCAGAAGAUCUUCCACCUUGGCUAACGGAAAUGCAGUGCUCAAGAUUAACGGUCAAAGUCAACGAAGACAACAAAGAGACCAACGUGGUUGUCCGUGGAUGCAUGCCGGCUGAAUCUUGUGCAACACUCAAACAAAUAAAGGACCAUGCAUGGAGUAAUUUAACCGUGGUUGAGUGCUACAUGUGCAAGACGGAUCUGUGUAAUGCUAAAAGGCGCGCUAUGGUUGGGAAGCAUUUUACAACAAUCAAAAGUUGAGGGAGGAGGAGAGCAUAUAGCCAAAUGUAGGUCAGUGCCAGAUAGCGUGAGAGUGUGGAGGGCCGCCGAUAAGUUUAAGCUUCCCCGGAAUCUCACAGAGAUAUUCCCAACAAUGAAUUUCAGCGCAAAAUUGGAUGGCGGAAAUGGUAUGUAAAUGGUAUUCAGUGGAUUGCCAAAGAGUUCACCAAACAAUCCAAACACUCUGUGUGCGAUUUAUGGAAGCUCCCAACACUACUAUAUAAUAUAGGAACUUUUCAACAUCCGGAGGAGAUGAGAAAAUGUCCAAAAGAUUUAUGAUUUUAGCGGAAGUGGCUGAUUGUAAGAAAUUGAAAUGGAGAAUUAUAAUUUUUUUUUCGUUAAGUUUUGUCUGAGAUUGGAAAUUUUUUUCUCGGAGGGAAAUAUGAAAAAUUUUUCUUUAUUCUUGAAGUUUUUUUUUCCAAAAUUAUUUGUUUUUUUCUAUAAUUUUUAUUUAAUUUUUUUAAAUCGCAAGAAUUUGACUAAAGAUACAUAGACUCCUUUUAUAAGUAAUUUUAUUAGUAAAACUAACAAGUAAAAUAUAGCGAAAUCGAUUCAAAACACGCUGAAUUAUUCAUGUCUCUUGUUCCUUUAACCCUAAAUCUUAAAUCCUUAAACUCCCUAAGAAAAUAUUUAAUUUAAAGUUUCUUUUCUUUCGGAUUCCUUGCAUUUGCGUGGCUGAUUUUUAUUUAUUUUUCACUGGUUUUUGUUAUUUUAUUAUCGUGAUUUGUAGUAUUAUGUGUACACAGUUUUCACCCCCACAACAGGAAUUCUGAGGAUGAAUUACGAAGCAUCUUUCGCUUCUUGACUUUUCUCUGCAGAAAUAAACCCAAAAUGUUGCUGCAAAUUCACAAAAGACAAUAUUCCAACUUGAAUGGGGGAGUGAAUAAACCCCCUUUUGCGUCCGUAGAUGCUUCGUCAGAGAGAUAUUUGAGGGGGUGUUUUGAUGAUUCGAUAUUCAAGGAAGAAACUAUAUAUGUGGUGGAAGAAACAAAAAAAUAUCAAUGAAUGGGGAAUGGCGAAGAUGUAUGAGAAUCACAAAGGAAACUCCAUUCCUUGUGUGAUGAGCCAUGUGAGUGGGGUGGAAGGAGGGGGUUGGGGGAGGGAAGAGGGUGUGGGUGGAACUGUGUGUAACCGGAUCACGAACACAACAUAAAUAUGUGGUGUUCCAUCAAAAUUUCUCCUCGAAGAAUCAUCGAGUGAACCUCAUCAUUGUCCUCCCCAUGCUCCCACACGCCCACGCCCACCACCCCCAUCCGAUGAUAAAACAACGGGACGGCAUUGCAUUAGAGAUGAGAUGAAUUUGUGCACAUUUUCUCGAGCACAUAAAUGGAUUGUAUUGUUUAAAAGAUGAAAUAUCGCCCUCACUUUCGCAUGAUGAAUGAGCUUCGAGGUCCGAGAGAUGUGUGUUGUGUAUUCCAUAUAAGGGGGUGCGAGAAGGAUCCUCCAUCUGCCAUGCCUUCUGACGCAUGAAAAUCAACAAAAAUCCAUUGUUCUUCCACAAUUUUUGGGGGAUUUAUUGAUGAAUAUUUGCCUUGUUGAAUAGAUUUCUCUUUCUUUUUUUUUUCUCUCCUUCUUUGUUUAGGGAAAAUGGGGAAAAGUUUCCAUUUCCUACAAGCUUUAGUUUUGAUUUUUUUAUGUAUUAAUAUUUGUUGGUAAAUUACUUUAAAAUUUAAACUCCAACUAAUGGUGGAAAAGGAGUUUAUUCACUUUGACGUUUCAUUGAUCUUUUAAAUUGUUUAAUACAAAUUUGAAAAAUAUUACAGGGAGUUAAUAUUCAUGAGAAGGGAAAUUUUCUCUUUCAAAUAAGUCAGAUGAGAAAAAAAUCUCUUUUUACUUCUUAUCAGAUAUAUGCAUUAUGUGCAUAUGCUUCAAUAAACGAUCUAUUCAAUAACGCCUAAAAUGUAAAUAAUUUUAAACCAAAACAGAAAUACAAAUUGUUAAAAAAAUGCGCAAA